UCAGCACUUCUCCCCUUUUUUAGUCAAAAUUGACCAAAGGUGACAUAUCAGACAAAAUAAAUGUUCAUUAGCCUAGCAGAGAAAGUUAGAUCAGAUGUUAUAACACUAAGCUUGUUAAAACAUAGUAUUCAGGAAGUACAAACCAUCAUUAUACACAACUGUGAUAGCUGAGAUAAUGAACAAAUCCAAGGAACUCUUUAAGAGCCCUAAAUAUUACAAAACAUGCAUCAAUGAGGACUUCCACACAUUACACAAUUGCCAAAAAAAAACAAAAAAAC
rnacentral:lncRNA from 1 species